AUGCUGAAGUUGCAACUGAUCCCACAAAAUUCAGAAAAAGAUUCUGAUUCUUUUGCAGAUUGUAGCUUUUAUUUGAGUAGCAGUAAAGACUGGGUUUAUUUCAAACACUAAUUUUGUUAAAAAGAAAUGCAAGAUAGGAAUGCAUAUUAAACUUAUUAAACUAAUACCUCAAUAACUUUUGAGGAUAUUGCCUUAUAGAACUGUAUCACCUGAAAUGUUCCUGUCUCUGAGACAUCAAAUUAGACGUGUUUUGGUGCACAGUGCUCGUGGUACUAGUGUAUGUAUGUGGUACCACAGAUUUAUGAUAUGCCAGAAUAAAGGUAAAGCUGCUUAAAACCGCAUUAAUCAUCUAGUUAUGCACACAGCAAUGCAUAUCCCCUGUGGGAGAUAUGUAUAAUAUCUUUGUGUAAUAUAGGACACUCAUGUUUUGCAGACUUCAGACCAUCAGAGAAAUGCUAGAACUGGAAUUCUACAAUGAAAUAUUCCCAAAGAGACGAGAACUUCCAAACCUGGUUUUUUACUUGUAUGAAGAAGUGCUCAUGGGCCCAGAAGGCAGAAGUACUCAUUUAAUUGCUAAAUUCAGGUUUAUAUGUGGAACAGAGGAGUAGACUUGAAAUCAAAACUCUGGAUCCAGACACUGCUGGUAGGGAAAUUCAGACCUUUUGCAGAUAUAGCUACAUGCAUACAACACAUUCUCUCAUGAAUUUAUGCUCAGAUUAUAGGUAUUUACUUGAAGCUUCAAUUACUGGACUAUUGCACUCUCAUUUCCUGUAAGAGUUAGACACUGUCAGACUUUGAAAUGAAACUGUUUCAUGGAAGAUUUAUUACAUUUCUUAUCCUGUGCAUGCCCACUGACAUCAAGCAAUUCUGAGUGUCAGACAGUAGGACUCUGAGUUCUGCUUAAAAACUGUGGGCAAUUUAGUUCCACAGUUGAUCCCAUCUAAAGCAAACCAUGGCAUUAUAACAAAUGAAACAACAACAAAAACAACAACAAAAAACAGCUGUUAUCAAUGGCUGAAGCACAGUUUUGUACCAGACUGUUUACCAAACGAACUGUCCAUCAAUUAGUGGACUAGACAGUAUCUCCAUUUGGCAACUACUAUUUUCUCCUUUCUCUUCUGUAUGAUACCUUUGUGUAAAGAGAACAUUUGCUCCAGGAGAAAGAUCUUUAUCAUUUCCUUCUUACAUUCUGGGACUGAAGACUGCAUCCCCCAACUCCCAGAAGCCUGUGGCAGACAUCAGGCUGUUCAGCAUGUAGAUAGUGACUUUCCACUCUUCCUGGUGAAAUGAUGAUGGCAUAGCAAACACAACAAGAUUCAGGACAAGCAAGAAAAAGUACAAGAAGUUGAUCUUGUAGGUCAGUGAUAUCGGUAAUUCCCAAGCACAGAGAAGACCUAUCUGCUAGACUCUGGUCCUGGCCCACUGGAGUGAGAAAUAAAAGCAAGAAACAAUCCUGACAUUCACCAGUUUCUUUGUUGAGUUGGAGAGCUGAGCCUGUUUAUUUUAGACGUGCAACUUCUUAUUUAGGAAUUUCAGCCUCCUGACAAAUGCUACUGCUUCCAUGCAAUCAUUACUUCAUUGUUUCAUGGCUACAGGUGCACAAACACUGCCAUGCAACAGCAGUAACUACUUAGCUCUGGCAUGAGGCAACAAGUACUCUGUCAGUCAGCUCCUGGACACGAUCCAGAGGAUGGUACAUGGCAGGGUUGGACCCCAAUAGUCAGGAUUGACUAGGUCACCCAUUUUUUUUUAGGGGAAGAGAGGUUAGCCAUAGCUGCCACAUUUGCUCUCAGACUGGCAACUCGGCCCAACGCUACACCCCUUCGCACAGCUCUAGCCUAUGAGACCAAAAAGGGGAGUCCCAUCUUGAACAAACAAGAAGCCUCUGUUGUUUGGGUCUGCUAAAGGCAGCAGACUGAUAAAUACGGAACAGAUGCAAUAAAAAAGAGUAAAAGCUAUCUCAAAUUAUCCUCUAUACUGACAAUCAUAAAGAAAACUAUAUGGAAUUGAACUGUACAUCAACAUACUGAUAAGUAUUUCAGGACCAUGCCUCAGGACUCCUGUAGCUAAGGGUAAAAGGAGAUUUGUCACCCACACAUACAACUCACAUGUGUAACAAUUGUGACAGAAUGUAAUUAUUACAUUUACUUUGGAAAGAAAAGUCAAUUUACUCUGUUGUUAAAAAAAAAAAAAAAGUAAAAUUAAUGAAGAUGUAAUCCUGGUAAUUGCAGAAAUUGGUGAGAAUUCUGAGUUCACUAGGCUACUAAAUUAGAUUAAUCUCCUCAAAAUAUAUUACACUGAAAUAUCUAAUUUCUAUGCAUUUAUGAACAUGUGUUGUAUGGUAUAAUUCUGUUUAAUCUUCAGAGGCCUCUCAGAGGCCUCUAAAUUUAAUCUUAGGCAAAAUGGCAAAGUUUUGCCUGAGUAAAGAAUGCCAAAUAAAGCCCUAAAAAGGGAUUGCUAGGAUCAGAAUUACUUCUUGUUUCCAGCUGCUUUGUUCUGUACUGGUAUUGUAAAGAUGCCAUGAAUUCAGCUUAAUUGGAGAGUUAAGCUAGGUUUACAGCUGUUUUUUUUCUUAUUUGAAGAAGUGCAAAGCAGCUGAACAUUCCAAUCAUUUAUGUUUGAAGUCUCUUUCUAUACACCUUAUAGCAGGAUAUGUAAAAAACCCCACGAACACUGCAUUCUCAAGACUGGAUGUUGCAGAAUUGACAUCUCAAAUUGGGAUUACCUAUUUUCCUCUACCAGAUAAUUGAUGGAAAGAUGCACAGUGAAGCAGGCCUUUCUGAAGCAUAUCACUCUGCAUCUGAGAGAGUACUUAACCUGAAGGAAAUCAAUAAAAAAUAGGAAAAACCUAUUGCAUAUCAGACUUUGAGCGGUCUCUUUCUGACUGAAAAAAAAAAAAAAUCCCCAUGGAGAAAAACAUGGUCCUGGUGGGAGCUGAACGUUAACAUAUCUUCUAGGGAGGCUGAAAGACAUAGUUAUCCUUCAUGAGAAAAACAAUGUGAAGAAAAAAAUGCCUUCUCAUGAUCAACACUUCUGAUCUACCCUUCUUGAUAAAUAUCAC
rnacentral:lncRNA from 1 species